CCUACGGGAGGCAGCAGUGAGGAAUAUUGGUCAAUGGCCGAGAGGCUGAACCAGCCAAGUCGCGUGAGGGAAGACGGCCCUACGGGUUGUAAACUGCUUUUAUACGGGAAUAACGCGCCUUACGUGUAGGGCUUUGCAUGUACCGUAUGAAUAAGGACCGGCUAAUUCCGUGCCAGCAGCCGCGGUAAUACGGAAGGUCCGGGCGUUAUCCGGAUUUAUUGGGUUUAAAGGGAGCGUAGGCCGCAUGUCAAGCGUGCUGUGAAAUGUCCGGGCUCAACCCGGGCCUUGCAGCGCGAACUGGCGUGCUUGAGUCCGCGGAAAGCAGGCGGAAUUCGUCGUGUAGCGGUGAAAUGCUUAGAUAUGACGAAGAACCCCGAUUGCGAAGGCAGCUUGCUGCAGCGGAACUGACGCUGAUGCUCGAAAGCGCGGGUAUCGAACAGGAUUAGAUACCCCAGUAGUC
rnacentral:rRNA from 1 species